rnacentral:rRNA from 1 species
AUGAGAUGCCAUGCUGGGGUCUUGAGUCAUGAUUAUUGGAGGCAUCCCAUCUGCACAUUUUUUUUGCAAAAUGUGCGACGACAGACAGCCAGAAGCGGUAGGCGCUUUAUUAUUAUUAAGGUAGAGAUAAACCCUAGCAUAUUUAAACAAAAUAAGUUCUAUCAUGUGCUGAAAAAAAUGGUUUCUUCAGUACUCUUAUUCUCUAAAACUGCUCCUUUUUAUAAUUACCCCCCCCCUCUCAUAUAUGUUGUGCACAUACUCGAAAUUUAUUCUUCUAUUUGGCACAUAUAUCUGUUAUGA